rnacentral:rRNA from 1 species
CAGUCGCCGCGGGAAUACGAAGGGUGCAAGCGUUAAUCGGAAUUACUGGGCGUAAAGCGUGCGUAGGCGGUGAGUUAAGUCUGCUGUGAAAUCCCCGGGCUCAACCUGGGAAUGGCAGUGGAUACUGGCUCGCUAGAGUGUGUCAGAGGAUGGUGGAAUUCCCGGUGUAGCGGUGAAAUGCGUAGAGAUCGGGAGGAACAUCAGUGGCGAAGGCGGCCAUCUGGGACAACACUGACGCUGAGGCACGAAAGCGUGGGGAGCAAACAGGAUUAGAUACCCCUGUAGUCCCUGUCUCUUAUAA